AGAGUUGACUGGGCAAUCGCGCUUUUGUUGUUUCGACAGCAAAAGGGAGGAAAGUCUGGGCUCCAUAGGGUAGGACGCCAGAUAACAUCUGGGCAGCGUGAGCUGACGGCAAGUGCAGCAGAGAGAAGACCGCCAACAUUGUUGGUAAGGGUGAAAGGGUGCGGUAAGAGCGCACCGCACAACUGGCAACAGUUUGUGGCAAGGUAAACCCCGUUCGGAGCAAGAUCAAAUAGGAACACAUAUGGCGCGACCCGCGUUGUGUUCGGGUAGAUCGCUUGAGGUAUAUGGCGACAUAUUAUCCAGAUGAAUGAUUGUCUAAAACAGAACCCAGCUUAUAGGUUGACUCUAUAA
rnacentral:RNase_P_RNA from 1 species